ensembl:lncRNA
GGAGGGCCAGCCCGCUCCCUGCGGCCUUGCCCUGGAGCCGUGGCACCGUCUGGCCCUGUAGGCUAGUGAUGGGGGCGGCGGGGGACCCUCACCGCGGGGGUCAUAGAGGACAAGACCAAGGUUAUAGUUACCGCCUCGCGAGCUGAGCUUUACGGAGCAGGCCGCACCUCUAGCAGCACUUUCCGCGCACUUGUGACCUGCAGCAUCCGGAGGCCACACCUGGCCGAGUUCCCUCCCUCCCUUCCUCCUGUUGACGCUGCAGGGGAGCUGGCGCCCUGGGGCUCCGGAUCCAGUCCUGGCACGUUGUCGCACCUGUGACUUGCCCUUGGCCGGACAGGCACUGUCCCUCGCCGGGGGAGGGAGAGGGCUCACGUGGUCCCCUUGCUCCCGCAGUCAUGCACUUGGAUGAAAACCGUAAGACUGAGAAGUCACGAGAACCAGGUUGUCUCCCAGUUGUGGCGCAGAGCCACUGGGUAGCUGUGGAUCAUUAAUUUCCCCGUGGCAGACCUCCUGCGUUUUCUGCACCGCGGCUGUGGCCCCGGGGAGAGGGAAGGCUACUGCUUCGGAUUCAAAUCCUUACUCCUACUUACUGCAAGUGUCACCUUGAGCGACUUCAGAUCUCUCUGACUUUGCUCUCAGGAAUGUAAAUUGUUAACAAUCAGUACCUACCUGGUAGCGGGAAUUAAAUGAGUUAACGUGUGUGAAUGUGAGUAGAUCUCUGUAGGUGUUCAGUGAAUGCUCAUUUCCGUGAAUAUUCCUGUUUUAGAAUGUAGAAAAGGAUGUGAGGGGUUUUCUCUUUGCCUCCUGGAAGCUUUCCUAUUUUCAAGUGAAGAAACAGAGGCACAGCAAAUGAAGCAACAGUUCACUGAAGAACCCAACAACCUUUUCCUCAUGCCUUUUCCAUGGCUAUCAUUGCUCAAAUUAAUUUUAAAAAAUUGAACUUCCAGCCAAGACCUGGAAACAACCUAAAUAUCUAUUGACAGAGGAGUGGUUUAAGAAGACGUGGUACAUAUACACAAUGGAAUAUUACUCAGCCAUUAAAAGGAAAGAAAUAACGGCAUUUGCAGCAACAUGGAUGGACCUAGAAAUUAUCAUGCUAAGUGAAGUCAGUCAGACAAUGAGACACCAACAUCAAAUGCUAUCACUUACAUGUGGAAUCUAAAAAAAGGACAUAAUGAACUUCUUUGCAGAACAGAUACUGACUCACAGACUGAAAAACUUAUGGUUUCCAAAUGAAUGAGACAGGUUGGGGGAUGGGGGGAUGAACUGAGGGUUUGGGAUGGAAAUGCUGUAAAAUUUGGUUGUGAUGAUUGUUGUACACCUAUAAAUGUAAUAAAAUUCAUUAAGUAAUUUAAAACAAAAAAGAAAGAAAAAGAAAAAA